rnacentral:lncRNA from 1 species
AUUUUUCUAAACAAAGAUUAAAUAUGUGACAAGAAGACUGAAGUGCCGAAACAAGACCUCGAAGUGUAGUCUACACAAAUGACUCUCAAACACCGAUCCACUCUCUGGUCUUAGGUUUGGCAACAUUUUUAUAGCCUAUGGGAAAAUAAGAGUAAUAAGAGUAAUCUGGUGAGUUUAUCAUUAGGUUAAAUUGGCUCAAUUUAAAGAGCUGUCCAUUCUGAAAUUGUGUCCUUGCCCUUUUACGGGGUCACUAAAUGUUCCUUCUUACAAAAAACGUUGGUGAUAGUAAAUGGCAACUUUUUUGUUUUGCUCUGUUUUAAUGUUCUUAAGCAGGAAAAAAGAGUUCUAUGUUUGAUCUCUUUUUUAUUUUUUAUUUUCUGCUUCCUGGAAUCCAGAAAUCUGAGAACCAUAGGCAACUCUAACCUCUGCAUAUAUUUGGUACAUAUUUUGUAUACAUGUCUAUUCAUCAAUUCAGACUUUACAAACAGAAGGCCGAGUUACUUCAAUGGACUUUUGCUCAGUGGCAGAAAUCUACAGAUCCAUGUUUUAACACGUCUAAGGUACUCCAGAGACAAAGGUACAAUGGAAACACACAUUUAUGAUGGCAGCAGAU